rnacentral:tRNA from 1 species
GGGGAUGUGGCUCAAGAGGUAGCGCGCUCGCCUAGCAUGCGUGCGGCCCGGGUUCGAUCCUCAGCAGCACCA